GCCUGGCUGGCUUAGUUGGUAGAGCAUAUGACUCUUGAUCUUAGGGUUAUGAGUUCGAGACCCACGUUGGGUG
rfam:Canis lupus familiaris chromosome 38, whole genome shotgun sequence.